rnacentral:rRNA from 1 species
UAGGGAAUCUUCGGCAAUGGACGGAAGUCUGACCGAGCAACGCCGCGUGAGUGAAGAAGGUUUUCGGAUCGUAAAGCUCUGUUGUAAGAGAAGAACGAGUGUGAGAGUGGAAAGUUCACACUGUGACGGUAUCUUACCAGAAAGGGACGGCUAACUACGUGCCAGCAGCCGCGGUAAUACGUAGGUCCCGAGCGUUGUCCGGAUUUAUUGGGCGUAAAGCGAGCGCAGGCGGUUAGAUAAGUCUGAAGUUAAAGGCUGUGGCUUAACCAUAGUAGGCUUUGGAAACUGUUUAACUUGAGUGCAAGAGGGGAGAGUGGAAUUCCAUGUGUAGCGGUGAAAUGCGUAGAUAUAUGGAGGAACACCGGUGGCGAAAGCGGCUCUCUGGCUUGUAACUGACGCUGAGGCUCGAAAGCGUGGGGAGCAAGCAGGAUUAGAUACCCUGGUAGUCCACGCUGUAAACGAUGAGUGCUAGGUGUUAGACCCUUUCCGGGGUUUAGUGCCGUAGCUAACGCAUUAAGCACUCCGCCUGGGGAGUACGACCGCAAGGUUG